GACGUAGGGCGCAAGCGUUGUCCGGAUUUAUUGGGCGUAAAGAGCUCGUAGGCGGCCUGUCGCGUCGACUGUGAAAACCCGCAGCUUAACUGCGGGACUGCAGUCGAUACGGGCAGGCUAGAGUUCGGUAGGGGAGACUGGAAUUCCUGGUGUAGCGGUGAAUGCGCAGAUAUCAGGAGGAACACCGGUGGCGAAGGCGGGUCUCUGGGCCGAUAUCGCGCUGAGGAGCGAAAGCGUGGGGAGCGAACAGGAUUAGAACCGUACCGACGAGUCCAA
rnacentral:rRNA from 1 species